GGCCGUUAAAGACAAUGGAUAUUUAACCGUCUGUCAUUUCUGUUACGCUAAUUGUAUCGAAGAAAUUUCGAUAAAUCUUAAAUUCUCGUUCAAAACUACUCGGUUUUCGUUUUGAUGGGUGGCUUAGUCAGUCGGGUUUGUUAUGAGCUCGGGUGCACAUCGUUACAGCGGAAAGAAAAAAAAACAACAACAUGCAGAAAAGGACGUCACAACUAGUCAAGUCCAGUGGAGGUGCCGAGGAAAAAAUUAUGAUGAUUUUAAAAGACAUUCUAUGCGUCUAAUCAUAACUACAACUAACUAUGCCUUUUAGCAGCGAAUAUAUAUUCAAAUUGGCUAGAAGAAGGGCAAAAACGAGUUGAAGA